rnacentral:tRNA from 1 species
GCAGUGGUGGUUCACUGGCAGAAUUUUCGCCUUCCGUGUGGGAGACCUGGGUCUGAUUCCUGGCCAGUGCG